AUUGAACGCUGGCGGCAUGCCUUACACAUGCAAGUCGAACGGUAACGGGCCUUCGGGUGCCGACGAGUGGCGAACGGGUGAGUAAAGUAUCGGAACGUACCUUUCAGUGGGGGAUAACGUAGCGAAAGUUACGCUAAUACCGCAUAUUCUGUGAGCAGGAAAGCAGGGGAUCGCAAGACCUUGCGCUGAUUGAGCGGCCGAUAUCAGAUUAGCUAGUUGGUGAGGUAAAGGCGCACCAAGGCGACGAUCUGUAGCGGGUCUGAGAGGAUGAUCCGCCACACUGGAACUGAGACACGGUCCAGACUCCUACGGGAGGCAGCAGUGGGGAAUUUUGGACAAUGGGGGCAACCCUGAUUCAGCCAUGCCGCGUGAGUGAAGAAGGCCUUCGGGUUGUAAAGCUCUUUCGGCCGGGAAGAAAUCGUAUCAGCUAAUACCUGGUGCGGAUGACGGUACCGGCAUAAGAAGCACCGGCUAACUACGUGCCAGCCGCCGCCGUAACAC
rnacentral:rRNA from 1 species